rnacentral:rRNA from 1 species
CAACUAACGAGUGAAGAGGGAAGAGCUCAUCAUUGGCAUCUGGCAGUGUUGCACUGUCCGAGUUGUAGAUGAGGAGUAGUCCAUCUGGGCUGCAUGGCGUCCAAGUACAAUAGGCCGUCAGUGGGACAUCAUUGAGGGUGACAAUCCCGUCCUUGAUGUCAAUGUGCAAGUCCGUUACGAUGGCUAUCUCAGAGAGUCGAGCAGUGUGUGAUCUGCUGCUUAAACAUAGGAGGCGGAUUCCCUUCUUCAAGCUUUAACAUACAAGGGAAGAGACC